ACAUGUCCUUAACCUUGGCACAACAAAUCUCUAAAUCGAUUGAGACCUGUCUCAGAUACUUCUUGGUUUACAAGAUGGAGGCUGAAAUUAAAGAGAAAGAUCCUCACUCAACUCACAGAGGAGCAGAAUGGGAAGAGGACUUAGUGAGAAUUCCCUGAACACAGGAGAAAACCGAAGCCCAGAGAGUGGAUGGCCAAGUCCAAGGUCACACAGCCAAGUGCAUCCGAGCAGCGCAGGAUCCAGGUUUCCUGCCCCAGUGCUCUUUCUGCAGCCCAUGCCACCUGUUUUCAUGCUAUCUCAGUUCACCUUCCAGCUACACACCUGCAAUCAGAAACAGAAAGUCUGAGAGUGUGUGUGGAGCCAAAGAGGGGACAGCAGUGGUGAGGCCAGUUUCAUGUCUUGUGAUUUAUUUUCUCCCUUUCUUUUUGGACUUUAAUCUUAAGUGGACAGCAAUUUGGAACAGUGUCAGCACCUUGUUGGAUUGUGCUGUUUGGGAGAGGUGACACAGAGUAUUUUAAAAGAGCAGGUUAAGAACUUUUCACAAGGAAUCAAUUGAGAGAAAAUAAAAUAGAAACAGACUGUCCCACAUUUGGGCUGAGCACCAAACACAUUUUUUUUUUUUUUUUUGAGACUGAGUCUUGCUCUGUCACUCAGGCUGGAAUGCAGUGGCGCGAUCUCGGCUCACUGCAGCCUUCACCUCCCGGGUUCAAGUGAUUCUUCUGCCUCAGCCUCCCAAGUAGCUGGGAUUACAGGUGCCCACCACCAUGCCAGGCUAAUUUUUGUAUUUUUAGUAGAGACGAGGUUUCACCAUGUUGGCCAGGCUGGUCUUGAACUCCUGACCAAGUGAUCCACCUGCUUCGGCCUCCCAAAGUGCUGGGAUUACAGGCACGAGCCACCGCACCUGGCCUCAAACAAGCUUUUUAAUUGCAUUCAGAAGUGCACCAACUAGGCACAGACCUCUGGCAUGGAGACAGAAUGGGAGGUUCUUGGUGUCUGGCCUGGUCUUGCAGAAAUCAGGGAGUUGUGGGGACCAGGCAGCCACUGUGCAUCAGAUAGGAGUUUCAGCAGCAGGCAACAGAAAGCCUGCCAAUGUAGCUGAAAUAAGAAGGGCUUAUUUUUAUCCCUGAACAGAAGCUUCCAGCACUGGUUCAUCAGAUCAGGGCACUGAGCUGGCAUCCCCAUUUAUACAGUUUUCCUUUCCUUCACCUUUGUAAGAUGCCUGGCACAGCUCUGAGCAUCAAAUAUCUGUGCCAUGUGGGAGCACACGAGGGGACAAGUGGGGAAUAGGGUCUCCUCUGUCCUCUGUCCCCAGGCUGGCUUCUCUCGUGGUAGAAGGACCCCCACAGCACCAGGCCUCAUAACUACCCUGCUGGUAAACUGCAGGUGCUGUCACGGCUUCCUGCCUUCGUAUAUGAAAUGUUCCUUGGCAGCUGGACUGCUGUUUGUUUACCGCACGCACAGCUCUGCUGCCUCUUGGUUACACCAGUGAGCUAUUGCUCCAUGACAAGCCACACCGAAAUGUAGCAAGCACUUAUUGUUGCCCACAUGUGUCAAGUCAGUUGAGUGUUUCUGCCAACCGGGGCCUGGCUUGGCCCACCUUGGCUGAGCUUGCUCUGGUGCUAGGGUCAGCUAGACAGGUCGGCAGGAGACCAGCUGCUCUAGAAGAGCCUGGACAGGAUGAAUUGGUUCUCCUUCCACGUGCAUCUUGCAUCCCUCCAGCCAAGGAUUUGAACCCAGGUCUCGUCUGACUCCAAAUGCACCAAGAGGAUGGAGCCCAGAGUGACACAGAGGAAGAGGCCCCUGGAUGGAUGCAUGGGGAAGGUUAGAAGCAAGGCACAAGUCAUACCUACAUUCAAGGAGAGGGGACCAUGCAAAGGAUAAACUGCAGAGAGACAACAGAUUUACAUCCCAGACACAUUCACACUGGGCCAAGAGCAGCUGCCAUUGCAGAUUCGAGUCACGUCCUUUUUUCCUUCCUUCUCCUUCUUGGAGUUACAACAGAAGCUGGGGAGGUGAGAGUGCAGAAAGGACGUGGAUGAAGCAGAGAGGCACGUGCCUGUCUCAUUCGCCUCUGGAUCUGCUGCAUCCAGGACUGUGCCAGCACAAAGUGGGAGCCCGAUAAAUAUUUAUUGAAGAAAUGAAAGGUGACAAAAGGCAGAAGGAGGGAGACCCCAAAAAGAGGAGAGACAAAGUUUAAUCAUGUGGGCCAGGCUGGUUUUGAACUCCUGACCUCAAGUGAUCUGCCCACCUUGGCCUCCCAAAGUGCUGGGAUUACAGUAUGAACCCAGCAUCACAGUGCACUUGUGGCAGAUGGCAGUGCAUACCCGGGAGCUACUCUCCUCCGGCCAGAUGCCCUUCUCCCAGCUGCCCGCCGUGUGGCAGCUCUACCCCGGGAGGAAGUACCGAGCAGCGGAUUCCAGUUUCUGGGAAAUAGCAGACCAUGGCCAGAUUGACUCUAUGGAGCAGCUGGUCCUAACAUAUCAGCCGGAGAGGAAAGACUGACACUGGGAGUGGCUGGCCCUGCUGGCCCUGCCUCUUCUGGCCUGGUGUCUCCUCAUGCCCCCUCAGUGAGGAUCUUCAUGUACCUGCUCUUCUGUUUGCACACCCAGCAUAGCCUCCUUGCAGGCAGAAGGCAGUAGGGCCCCUGCACACUCAGUUUCUCUCGUUUUCCUUAGUUAUCAGUCCUGUCCUGUCCCACUCAGGUCUGUACUUAGGGCAGCUGGCCUGGAUGGGCUUCACUGGGGCCCUGUCUGUGUGCUGAGCCAGUUUCCCCUGCUGGCUGCAAGCUGUGGGUUCUUUCUCCUCUGUGCCCCUCAUGCUGAUCUUCUAGAUGCCACUCCCAAAUCCCCUUCAUACCCACCAGGAUGUGUGCCCAGCCAGGCCUCCAGCACCCCCAGUGCAGCUCGUGAUUGGAAACUCACCAUCGGCAGGCAGUGGUUCGGUUUAAGAGAUGGCAUUAGAGGGAGCCCAGUCUGGAUGUGGACUUGGAUGCCCUGUGGGUAUCAGUUCUGCUGACACUUUGGCCCGAAAUAGAUCCAGUGCUGAGCAAGCAAUGUACACCAGAGCCUCAGUGAGCCCAUCUGCACAGUGGGGAGCAUGGAGGGAUGGGUUUGGCCUGUGCUUCUGCUUAUUCAGUCCUUCAGCUCACGGAAGGGAUGCUAGUCCGUGAAGGUGACCUCACAGUACUGGUUAAUUAAACUUUAUUGCUCACUGUCCA
rnacentral:lncRNA from 10 species